rnacentral:lncRNA from 1 species
CCGCCUAACGCAUCGGUGACGGUUGGUGGUGGUUUGUUUGAGGUGGUUUGUGGAUGAGAAGGUGGAGCAUUGGGAUUAGGCUCAGUUUCGGGAAUGGGAUUGGGAUUAGGUUCGUUAGGUUUGGGUUCGGAGGGAAUGAGUUCGGGAGAAGAAGGUAAAGAAGGCAUAGCUUGUGGAAUGAACGUUAAUCGAAAAUCUGAAAAUGAAAUUGCUACGAUUGAGUGGGUUCGUAUAUAUAUAAAGAAAUUAAGAUUCUGUCGACUUAUGAAAUUAUGCACUGUAGUUCAUAGUUUGUUGAGAAUGGGAGUGUGAAUGAAUUUGUUGAUGUAAAGUUUGUUCGAAAAAAUGGAGGGAACAAGGGAGGUAAGGAGUUUGCUUAGUCAAUAACCCCCUAAAAUUGUAACUUUCGUCAAAAACUCCCCUGAAUUUUGCAAAAUGUCAAAAAUCCCUCUGAUAUUGUCAAGCGUCUGUCAAUUAUCCCCUCCGUUAAUUUUCUCCAUCCAACAUGCUGAUGUGGCCGUUAACUGCCACGUGGCACUGACACAUGGUAAAAAAAGUCAUGCCACGUCAUAGGGGGUAAUUGACUAUAUUAAUUUUUUUUUUGAAAAAAAAUCUGAUUUUUUUUUUUUUAAAUCUGAUUUUUUUUUUCUUUUCAUAAUUAACAUUUGUGCCACCCAUUGAAUAUGCAAAUACCCCCUUGAAAUUAAACAUUUAUGUGCAAAUACCACCCUCAAAUUUAAAAUUUAUGUAGCAAAUAUCCCCUCAAAUUUAUAACUUAUAUGCAAACAUCCUCUCCAAAUGUAAAACUUAUAUGCAAAUUACACCUUGAAUCAUAAAACUUUAAUGGUUAAGUAAAACUUAUUCUUGAUCUAUAAUUUACUAUAUCUCUAAUAACAAUAAAAAAAAAAUCACAUCUUUAAAAUAACAUGGAAACAGAGAUGCAUAUGCAUCAAAAUGUUGUGUUUUGAGAGCAAAUAAUUGCAUAUCCUACAUAAAGAAAAAAAAUUAACAAGGAUUUGACCAAGACAUAUAUAUAAUAAAUUAAGGUAAAUUUGGUAGUUAUGGCAAAGUGUAAUUACAACAGGAAGUUAAAUUUUCUCCAACAACAAAAGUGUAAUGGCAAUAAUUUGUCAUCAUUUCGAGCAACACCCUUAGGCCUUAAUAGAUAGAGAACUAGUGGUGUGUUCCAUGGGAACCCCUGAAGAAGCAUAGUUAUAAAUAUUCCCAAGCUCUUGGCCAAAAAACAAUUCUACGUGAGCCUACACACAACCAUCCAUUCAUACACCAAUAACCUCUCCCCCUUUGUUUUAUUUUAAAGAUGUGAUUUUUUUUUUCUUUUUUAUUGUUAUUAGAGAUAUAGUAAAUUAUAGAUUAAGAAUAAGUUUUACUUAACCAUUAAAGUUUUAUGAUUCAAGGUGUAAUUUGCAUAUACGUUUUACAUUUGGAGAGGAUGUUUGCAUAUAAGUUAUAAAUUUGAGGGGAUAUUUGCUACAUAAAUUUUAAAUUUGAGGGUGGUAUUUGCACAUAAAUGUUUAAUUUCAGGGGGUAUUUGCAUGUUCAGUGGGUGGCACAAAUGUUAAUUAUGAAAAAAAAAAAAUCAGAUUUUUUAUAAAAAAAAAAAAAAUCAGAUUUUUUUCAAAAAAAAUAAAUAAAUAUAGUCAAUUACCCCCCUAUGACGUGGCAUAACUUUUUUAACCAUGUGUCAGUGCCACGUGGCAGUUAACGGCCACAUCAGCAUGUUGGAUGGAGGAAAUUAACGGAGGGGGUAAUUGACGGACGCUUGACAAUUUCAGGGGAGUUUUUGACAUUUUGCAAAAUUCAUGGGGGUUUUUGACGAAAGUUAUAAUUUCAGGGGGGUAAUUGACUAUUUACUCCAGAUUUUUUCUAAAUUAUCUUUAAAAAUUCAGGGGCAAUUAACACAAAUCAAUAAAAAAAAAUUAUAUGUACUCCAUUAGAAUAAUUACAUUAGCCACAUAAGCACAUAUUCAUGAACUAUCUUGGCCCCACAAAUAAAUUGCUCAUUUUCAUUGGUUGGUGGGUAAAUUACCCACCAUUCUUCAAAGGUAAUUUAGAAAAAACCUUAUUAUUUUAUUGCAAAAAUUUAGCAUAUAUUUUACUAUUUGCAUAUUCAACCCAUACAUCUUAAAUUAAUAAUAUUUUACAAUUUAAACCAUCACAUUAAUUAAAUAUUUUUGCAUUUUAUAUGUAAAAAAUGGUGGAUUAUAAGGCGAGGGAUCAAUUAAGUCCCUCACCGGUGGACCACGAAGAAAUUACAGUUGAAUUUAAUCAAUGGAUCAUAUUUAUUGCAAACAAAAUUAAGAACAUCUAUAUCUUUCCGCAUACAAUUUUGUCUCAUCUCUUCUCUUAUCCAUGUUGAUAGUUCCAUCACCCACCUCUUGUAUCAACGCUCUUCUCCUCCAAGUUCGACUUGUUCUUCUCUCUCACCAUUUAUCCUCCAUUAUAUUUCUUAUAGUUCUACAGUGGAAUGAUUCUUCCUAUAAUUUUCAUCUCUUAAAAAAAAGUCAUUAGAGGAUUGAAUUUCAUGGUAAUACUAAACUCAACCAAAAUUUUGAGCACGUAUGAUCCAUCCAAAAAAAAUAUAAUCCUUAGGGGCGAUGGAGCAAUCCUCAUAUAUAUUAAUUAUUUGAUUCAUCAUUUGUUAAGAUUAAUAUUUUGUUAUGAUUCAAUAUUGCUUUCUGUUGAAUCACUUAUGUAUUUGAUGAUAAAUAUCAAAUUACAUUGUCAUACAAAAUAUGGAAACUUCGAUAAAAAAUAAAAUAAAAUAGAAUAAAGAAACAAAACAAUAACGUUGGUGGAAAUAAUAAAACAAUUCUUGAAUCUCGGCCAUUUUAUUUGAAUGAAUUGAACCCCCUUAGAUGAUUUGUGUUUAUCAGCCGUGCCUGGAUUUUGGAUCGAGGGAGGAUGUAGAUCUCAAUAAAUUGGGAGAGAUAAGAGGAAAGAGAAGAAGGGGAAAUAGAUUAUGUGAGAAAAAAUGUAAGUGUUCUCAUUUUCUUUUAUAUUUAAUCUACACCUUUAUAUAUAUCUUGAUGGUAUAUAAAAGUGGUCCACCGGUGAACUAUUUAAUUGAUGGUUCACCCUAGACAUCACCGUAAAAAAUAUGUUAAAUAUUCGCAUUGCACUCCUUCAGGAUUUUAUUUUCUUAUAUACUAGUUACAAACCCAUGCUUCGCACGGGUUGAAUUACGUGUUCUUGAAGAAAUUUGCUCUAAAGGAAUUAUGGAAAAUAGUUGCAUCUUUCUAAGAAAUUGGUGCCUUUUAUAAAUGUGGAAAUCAAGCAAGUUAGAAUAUUGUGUUUUUGAAAUUCCUUAUUAUAUGUUUGAAUAAGUUAUAAUUUAGAAAAUCUGUUUAUUACUAAAACCGAUUCGUAUUUGCGCUCAAGUUUUUACUCUUUUUAAUAAUGUUGAUGCAAUUUAUCUAAGAACAUAUAUGUAAAUGUUGCAGAUUCAUAACUCUAAAAUGAUAAAUUGUCAAAGUUACACAUUUAUAAACUAAAAAGGAUCAUUGCAUCUACUAAUGCGGGUGGGGUUCCAGAAGUGGACCUCGGUCCAACCGAAAAACUAUUGUGUUAAAAACUUUUUAAAAGUUCUGUUAGAUUCUUAAUAGCAAUAGGUGACCUUAUACCAAUCCCGAUCCAUUAGAUUUGUUCGGAAAAACAACGAUAGACAAUAAAACAUCUCGGAAAUCUUAUGUACUUAAUUUCACAGUAUAAUAACUAACUCUCCUACAAAUUAGGAAGGUAGUUACAACUGUUUUUCUAUCUAAAAGUUAGCUUAACUUGUGUUAACUUGUGCUGCAAGUAAUUGUGGCAUAUGGUGUUCUUCAUCCUUAUCACAUAGCAAACAUGAUUCAAAUACAUGUGUUAUGCUUCAAGAUCAAUUAUGAUUAUGCAAUAGGUGUAAAAAGUCCAUAGAGUCUUAUGAAGAAAAAGCAAUGAUCCUUUAGCAUAGAGGUAAAGCAAUGUUCCAUCACCAUGCCUUGAUUUAGUAAGAAUUGUUUCUUUUUUAACAGUACUAAAAUUUGUUUUAAUCCUUUGGUUUAGCACUUCAUUAACAAUAGAGCUAGAAUGCUGAAUUUGAACUCCCUAUUAAUUGAAUGAAUAAAAGCUAGUGUGUAAUAAAAUGCUAGAUCUAAUGCACCCUUGAACCAUUACAUAAACAAUAUCAAACACGAAUUUACUACUAUACAACCAUAGCUACACCGUUAAACUAUAAACUUAAAUUUAAUUUUAGAUGUGUAUAAAUAAUAAAGUGUUGCCGGCCACUCCAUCUUAUUUGUUGAUGAGCCCAGCAUACAUUUGAGACAACAAUAUAAAUGGGUUUUAGUCAGCAUAUCACCAAACAAAUUGUGAACAUUAGAAGGCACAAAUUUAUGAAAAGAAAAUUAUAUUUCGAGGCUUAUAUAAUUAGGGAGUGUAUUUUGGCUGCGAAUUCAAAAUGAUAGAUUUUUUUUUUUUUUGAAACAGCAUAUAUUAAUAACAAUCAAGCACAAGAAGUGCUAAAGGUUUAAGAGAAUUACAAAAGCCAAAGCUGGUUACAACGGCAAAACAAAACGCAAAAGCGCACAGGCCAACCAAAACCGCAAAACUGAUAGAAAAAACAGCAGCAGUAAUGCUGCAGAAAAACUAACAGAAAGCCAAUAAACCAAAAACCAAUAACUGACAGGCCCAAAAACUCAUAGCAGCAACCAAAACAGUCCUCUCCACAAGGCACCAGCCAUCACCUCCUAUUCAAGCAUUCUCUCGGAUUCCAACACCAUUGCAAUAUACCUCCAUUAUCUUGUCCAGAUAUCUUAACAGAUAUCUUGUCCAGAUAUCUCAGAUUAUUAAAGGUGUGAAGUAAUGUAAAAUGAAGUAGAAUCAUAUGCAUAUGCAUUGUUCAUAAAUAACAUUGUAAAUUUGUCUUCCUAAUUGCAAGACAUUCAACGGUAUUCGGUUUUGUAUCCGGUGAUGUGUACCUUUUUUUCCAAUUCAUUGCGAUGUCACCUUUCCAUGAUGUAUCGAACAGCAUGAUUGGCUAUCAUAUAUACACCCAACACUGUCAAGCCCGCAGAGGCGCACUUAUACCACCUAGUAAAAUAAUUUAGUCAAUAAAAACCAUGUAGGCAAAAACAUUCUGUGCUUUUGUUCUUUACAUACAACUACAUUCAUUUAGGGAGACCUUCGCUCGGCUCACGAUGAAAGUAGGUGUGGUGUCGGUAGAAUUACGACUUUGGCAUAAGCUCCAAAUGGUCAUAACUCUUAGUAAUUUUUGCUACUCUNUAGUGGACUCAGUUUUGCUUGUAAGGCUAUUUAUAAGCCUCAUUUUCUUAAUGAAUAAUUAUCCCUUCCAGCUUUUUGUUAUUCUAAAACUCACAAACACACCAAAAAAUAAUAGUAAUAGUUCAAUCUUCGUGCAUGCAACUAGAAAUUCAAUUUGAGAAAUUAUCAAAAAUCAAGAAACGCCAUAAAAAUUGAACAAUAAUAAAUAUAAUAAUAACAAAUUAGUAAUGAUCAUCAUAACUUUGUUCAAAAAAAAAAAAUGAGAUGAUAAACGCACCACCGAUUUAAACAACGCGCCGUGAGCAGCAAUAUCGCGGCCUAACGCAUUCGUCAUCUCGCCGUAAGCAGUGGAAAGACGAGGAUUGCCGCCUAUCAUAUCCGACGACGCGCAGUGAACAAUAGAAAGACCAGUAGCAAGAUCGCCGCCUAACAUAUCCGACGACGCGCCGUGAACAGUAGAAAGACCAGUAGCAAAAUCGCCACCUAACAUUUCCGACGACGCGCCGUGAGCAGUGGAAAGACCAGUAGGAGCAAGAUCGCCGCCUAACAUUUCCGACGACGCGCCGUGAACAGUAGAAAGACCAGUAGCAAGAUCCCCGCCUAACGCAUCGGUGACGGUUGGUGGUGGUUUGUUUGAGGUGGUUUGUGGAUGAGAAGGUGGAGCAUUGGGAUUAGGCUCAGUUUCGGGAAUGGGAUUGGGAUUAGGUUCGUUAGGUUUGGGUUCGGAGGGAAUGAGUUCGGGAGAAGAAGGUAAAGAAGGCAUAGCUUGUGGAAUGAACGUUAAUCGAAAAUCUGAAAAUGAAAUUGCUACGAUUGAGUGGGUUCGUAUAUAUAUAAAGAAAUUAAGAUUCUGUCGACUUAUGAAAUUAUGCACUGUAGUUCAUAGUUUGUUGAGAAUGGGAGUGUGAAUGAAUUUGUUGAUGUAAAGUUUGUUCGAAAAAAUGGAGGGAACAAGGGAGGUAAGGAGUUUGCUUAGUCA